UACGGGGGGGGCAAGCGUUGUUCGGAAUUACUGGGCGUAAAGGGCGCGUAGGCGGUCCGCUAAGUUGGAUGUGAAAACUCUGGGCUUAACCCAGAGCUUGCAUUCAAAACUGACGGGCUGGAGUUCUGGAGGGGAUAGCGGAAUUCCUGGUGUAGCGGUGAAAUGCGUAGAUAUCAGGAGGAACACCGGUGGCGAAGGCGGCUAUCUGGACAGAAACUGACGCUGAGGCGCGAAAGCUAGGGGAGCAAACAGG
rnacentral:rRNA from 1 species